rnacentral:misc_RNA from 1 species
GAUGGAUCUGAGAGUUGCCGUGUUCUUCGAUAAGGGAACAGUUUUUGGUCACUGUGGUUGUUGAAUGUAAUUGUAAAGCAGUAAGGGGUAUUAGUAUUUGAUUGCUGUACUAUAGCGUUUAAUUGGGACUGCUAGUCAUGGAUCAUGUUAUUGGUGGCAAGUUUAAGCUUGGACGGAAGAUCGGUAGCGGAUCCUUUGGUGAACUUUAUUUGGGCAU